rnacentral:rRNA from 1 species
CAGUCGCCGCGGGAAUACAGAGGGUGCGAGCGUUAAUCGGAUUUACUGGGCGUAAAGCGUGCGUAGGCGGCUUUUUAAGUCGGAUGUGAAAUCCCUGAGCUUAACUUAGGAAUUGCAUUCGAUACUGGGAAGCUAGAGUAUGGGAGAGGAUGGUAGAAUUCCAGGUGUAGCGGUGAAAUGCGUAGAGAUCUGGAGGAAUACCGAUGGCGAAGGCAGCCAUCAGGCCUAAUACUGACGCUGAGGUACGAAAGCAUGGGGAGCAAACAGGAUUAGAUACCCCAGUAGUCCCUGUCUCUUAUAC